rnacentral:rRNA from 1 species
AUGGAGUGGGACAGCGAGUCCGACGGCGGCGGCAGCGCCGGGAGCGGGGACGAGAUGGAGGAGGAGGAGGAGGAGGGGGGAGAGGUGGUGCUUGGCGGGGGGAGCGGGAGCGGGAGCGAGGGCGGGGGAUUUGGAGGGAUAGGCGGCGACGGGGUCGGCGGGAUGUUCACGUUCGCCAUCGAGGGGAUGCUCCGCGGGGCGGGGCCGUACGGGCUGGUCGUCACGGACGCGCUCGAGCCCGACUGCCCCAUCAUCUACGUCAACCGCGGCUUCGAGGAGGCCACCGGGUACCGCGCCGAGGAGGUGCUCGGCAGGAACUGCCGGUUUCUGCAAUGCAGAGGCCCAUUUGCUCAGAGAAGGCACCCCUUGGUUGAUGAUGCAGUAGUUUCUGGGAUUCAGAGAUGCGUAGACAACGGUACUCAGUUCCGUGGUGAUUUGUUGAAUUUCAGAAAAGACGGAUUUCCAUUGAUGAAUAGGCUGCAUCUGACUCCUAUAUAUGGAGAUGAUGAUAUCAUCACCCAUUAUAUGGGCAUUCAGUUCUUCACCAAUGCUAAUGUUGAUUUGGGACCAGUACCUGGCUCAGUUACAAGGGAACCUGUGAGAUCUACACGGUUUGCUCCGGAUAACUUUUUCCGGCCCAUAACCACCGGACUAGAGCAGGACAACUUCUGCCGGGAGUAUUCCAGUCUCUUCCAGCUAACUGAUGAAGUACUUUGCCAGAGUAUUUUGUCAAGGUUGUCUCCAAGAGAUGUCGCAUCUGUGAGCUCUGUAUGUCGACGGUUGUAUGACUUAACAAAAAAUGAAGAUCUUUGGAGAAUGGUUUGCCGUAAUGCAUGGGGUAGUGAGACUACUCGAGCUCUUGAGACUGUGCCUGCUGCGAAAAGAUUGGGCUGGGGUCGGCUGGCCAGAGAACUAACCACCCUGGAAGCUGUUGCAUGGAGGAAAUUGACAGUUGGAGGUGCAGUGGAGCCAUCUCGAUGCAACUUCAGUGCUUGUGCUGUAGGGAAUCGUGUCGUUCUCUUUGGCGGGGAAGGUGUUAACAUGCAACCGAUGAAUGACACGUUUGUGUUGGAUUUGAAUGCUAGCAAUCCGGAGUGGAGACAUGUCAAUGUAAGCUCAGCUCCUCCGGGCCGCUGGGGCCAUACACUAUCUUGCCUAAAUGGAUCUUGGUUAGUUGUGUUCGGGGGUUGUGGAAGGCAGGGCCUUCUUAAUGAUGUAUUCAUGUUGGAUUUGGAUGCGAAACACCCAACUUGGCGGGAGAUCCCUGGUGUUGCACCGCCGGUUCCGCGUUCAUGGCACAGCUCCUGCACUUUGGAUGGGAAUAAGUUGGUGGUUUCUGGUGGCUGUGCAGACUCGGGUGUACUACUCAGUGAUACGUUUCUUCUUGAUGUGAGCAUGGACAGACCUGUAUGGAGGGAAGUACCUGCAUCUUGGACACCACCUUCUAGAUUGGGCCACUCAAUGUCUGUGUAUGAUGGUAGGAAAAUUCUGAUGUUUGGCGGUCUUGCUAAGAGUGGUCCUCUCCGACUACGAUCCAGUGAUGUGUUCACAAUGGACUUAAGCGAAGAAGAGCCCUGCUGGCGGUGCCUCACUGGGAGUGGAAUGCCUGGGGCGGGAAAUCCGGCUGGAGCUGGUCCACCUCCUCGUCUUGAUCACGUUGCUGUGAGUUUGCCAGGGGGAAGAGUGUUAAUAUUUGGUGGAUCAGUGGCAGGCCUCCACUCGGCGUCACAGCUGUAUCUCUUGGAUCCGACUGAAGAGAAACCUACGUGGAGGAUACUUAAUGUUCCCGGGCGACCUCCGCGGUUUGCGUGGGGCCACAGUACCUGUGUCGUUGGAGGUACAAAAGCGAUAGUGCUUGGAGGACAAACUGGAGAAGAGUGGAUGCUCACUGAAGUACAUGAGCUCUCUCUGGCUAGUAGUAACUCUGUUUGA